rnacentral:rRNA from 1 species
AGUGAACGCUGGCGGUAGGCCUAACACAUGCAAGUCGAACGGCAGCACAGUAAGAGCUUGCUCUUACGGGAGGCGAGUGGCGGACGGGUGCGGAAUACAUCGGAAUCUACUUUUUAGUGGGGGAUAACGUAGGGAAACUUACGCUAAUACCGCAUUCGACCUACGGGUGAAAGCAGGGGAUCUUCGGACCUUGCGCGAUUGAAUGAGCCGAUGUCGGAUUAACUAGUUGGCGGGGUAAAGGCCCACCAAGGCGACGAUCCGUAGCUGGUCUGAGAGGAUGAUCAGCCACACUGGAACUGAGACACGGUCCAGACUCCUACGGGAGGCAGCAGUGGGGAAUAUUGGACGAUGGGCGCAAGCCUGAUCCAGCCAUACCGCGUAGGCGAAGAAGGCCUUCGGGUUGGAAAGCCCUUUUGUUGGGAAAGAAAAGCAGCAGUUUAAUACCCCGCUGUUCUGACGGUACCCAAAGAAUAAGCACCGGCUAACUUCGUG